GAUGAACGCUGGCGGCGUGCCUAAUACAUGCAAGUCGAGCGAACAGACGAGGAGCUUGCUCCUUUGACGUUAGCGGCGGACGGGUGAGUAACACGUGGGUAACCUACCUAUAAGACUGGGAUAACUUCGGGAAACCGGAGCUAAUUCCGGAUAAUAUUUCGAACCGCAUGGUUCGAUAGUGAAAGAUGGCUUUGCUAUCACUUAUAGAUGGACCUGCGCCGUAUUAGCUAGUUGGUAAGGUAACGGCUUACCAAGGCAACGAUACGUAGCCGACCUGAGAGGGUGAUCGGCGACACUGGAACUGAGACACGGUCCAGACUCCUACGGGAGGCAGCAGUAGGGAAUCUUCCGCAAUGGGCGAAAGCCUGACGGAGCAACGCCGCGUGAGUGAUGAAGGUCUUCGGAUCGUAAAACUCUGUUAUUAGGGAAGAACAAACGUGUAAGUAACUGUGCACGUCUUGACGGUACCUAAUCAGAAAGCCACGGCUAACUACGUG
rnacentral:rRNA from 1 species